GAGUGAUGACGCCCAUAUACUAAAAUUGGAACAAUAUGGAGAAGAUUAGCAUGGCCACUGUGCGAGGAUGACACGCAAAUUCGUGAAGUGUUCUCUCUCUUU